rnacentral:lncRNA from 1 species
UUCAAAACUACAGACUAUAAAUAGCAUCAAUAGAUGACUUUAAAGAGAGACUGAACCCGAGUGGAAUAAUGCUUAUUGUUACUCCCCAAUAUAUUUUUAUAAUUUACUUUACUUCAGUAGGCGUCUAUGUAUGAAACAGUUAAGUGUACAUAUAUAGCUAAAAUCCCACUUCUGGUUUUGUUUACUUUUUGGUCUGUUUUAGCUUUUAAUUCUCAUUCCAUCAUAUUUCAUUAUCCUAUCCAUGCAUCUACAUGUGUGUAAUUUUUUUUUUUAACUUAAAAUGUAAAACUAAAACUGUAGUGCUCUAAUCUCUGAAUUCACAAUAUCAUUCUCAAAGAGUUAUCUAUAUACAAUUUACCUUGCCAGCCAAUGAAAGUCAAUUUCAAACUGCUCCCUAUGACAAUUGACUACCUCCUUUUCACUAAUAAGCUAAAUCAGUGUUACACAGAAUAUAAGCCAAAAUCUUAGGUUCAUACUUCAACAUCACAAGGCUAAAUGUUGUCAGCAUUCUCCAGCGAGGACAAGCCAAGCUAAAGUGGGUUUGUCAUUUCAGGAUGAAGGUGCUCUAAUCCUAAUUGGUGUUGUCCAUGAUUACAUGAAUAUACCUUUGUUACGAGUUUAGAAACGUCUUAAGCUGUAAUCUAACAUUAAUCACAAAAAGAAGAAUAACUAAAAAGUUACGCAUCAAAAUCUUAAUCUCAAGUGAAAACACUUUGUAUAGUGACACUAAGUUGAGGUACAAAAACAACCACCAAAGAAACUAGCUACAACAAGAGUUUGAGUAUUGUAAAAUGGAGGCAAAUAGAGAAAGAUUUUAAUAACUAUAUAUACAGUCUGAGAACUGUUACAAAUUUAGCAUAUAUGUACAUACUAUCAUGAUCAAGCAUAUUUGGUGUUAAAAUAUAGGCAAUGAGACGGGAAAUAUAUAUUUAACAAGGGUUUCAUUCCUAUUCUAUAUAUAGA